CUUUUGUGUGUGACUAAUUCCUUGA
rnacentral:piRNA from 1 species